rnacentral:SRP_RNA from 1 species
GCCGGGCGUGGUGGCGGGCGCCUGUAGUCCCAGCUACUCGGAGGCUGAGGCAGGAGAAUGGCGUGAACCCGGGAGGUGGAGCUUGCAGUGAGCCGAGAUCGCGCCACUGCACUCCAGCCUGGGUGACACAGCGAGACUCCGUCUCAU